rnacentral:rRNA from 1 species
GCUUGCUUUGAACUGUUUUAGUGGCGGACGGGUGAGUAACGCGUGAGGAACCUGCCUUUCAGAGGGGGAUAACGUCUGGAAACGGACGCUAAUACCGCAUGACAUUUUGUUGCCGCAUGGUGAUAAAAUCAAAGGAGCAAUCCGCUGAGAGAUGGACUCGCGUCCGAUUAGCCGGUUGGCGGGGUAACGGCCCACCAAAGCAACGAUCGGUAGCCGGGCUGAGAGGCUGAACGGCCACAUUGGGACUGAGACACGGCCCAGACUCCUACGGGAGGCAGCAGUGGGGGAUAUUGCACAAUGGAGGAAACUCUGAUGCAGCAACGCCGCGUGAGGGAAGAAGGUUUUCGGAUUGUAAACCUCUGUCCUCAGGGACGAUAAUGACGGUACCUGAGGAGGAAGCUCCGGCUAACUACGUGCCAGCAGCCGCGGUAAUACGUAGGGAGCAAGCGUUGUCCGGAUUUACUGGGUGUAAAGGGUGCGUAGGCGGCACUGCAAGUCAGGUGUGAAAACCAUGGGCUUAACUUAUGGAUUGCACUUGAAACUGUGGUGCUUGAGUGAAGUAGAGGCAGGCGGAAUUCCCGGUGUAGCGGUGAAAUGCGUAGAGAUCGGGAGGAACACCAGUGGCGAAGGCGGCCUGCUGGGCUUUAACUGACGCUGAGGCACGAAAGCAUGGGUAGC